AAGGGCCUACGGAGCGCAGCAGUGGGGAAUAUUGGGCAAUGGGCGCAAGCCUGACCCAGCAACGCCGCGUGAAGGAAGAAGGCUUUCGGGUUGUAAACUUCUUUUCUCAGGGACGAAGCAAGUGACGGUACCUGAGGAAUAAGCCACGGCUAACUACGUGCCAGCAGCCGCGGUAAUACGUAGGUGGCAAGCGUUAUCCGGAUUUACUGGGUGUAAAGGGCGUGUAGGCGGGAAAGCAAGUAAGAUGGGAAAACCACGGGCUCAACCUGGGGCCUGACUUUGAAACUGUUUUUC
rnacentral:rRNA from 1 species